rnacentral:misc_RNA from 1 species
UCUCCGUUGGUGAACCAGCGGAGGGAUCAUUAUCGAGUUCUUCAACUCCCAAACCCCCUGUGAACAUACCCGAACGUUGCUUCGGCGGCCCGGAGCCAGGCGCCCGCCGGGGGACCCAAACUCUUGUCUUCGCCCACGGUGGGAUUUUCCUUCUGAGUGAACGAGCAAAACGAAUCAAAACUUUCAACAACGGAUCUCCUGGUUCUG